rnacentral:misc_RNA from 1 species
UUUCCGUAGGUGAACCUGCGGAAGGAUCAUUAAAGAAUGCCCCGUUUUUCGAAAUGGGUUCUAUUCCCAAACCGUGUCUACAUACCUUUGUUGCUUUGGCGGGCCGCCUUCGGGCGUUGGCCUCGGCUAAUUGUGCUCGCCAGAGGACCCAAACUCGUUUUGUUUAGUGAUGUCUGAGUACUAUAAAAUAGUUAAAACUUUCAACAACGGAUCUCUUGGUUCUGGGAUCGAUGAAGAACGCAGC